GCUGGCGUCUUCGGCGUCCGCGUUGUAAUCUCGAGACGUGUUUUCCGUGCGGCUCUAUGGACAAGUCCCUUGGAACAGGGCAUCGUAGAGGGUGAAAAUCCCGUACUUGCCAUGGAAGUACCGUGCUUUGUGAUACACGUUCCAAGAGUCGAGUAGUUUGGGAUUGCUGCUCAAAGUGGGUGGUAGACUCCAUCUAAAGCUAAAUAUCGGGGAGAGACCGAUAGCGAACAAGUACCGUGAGGGAAAGAUGAAAAGCACUUUGGAAAGAGAGUUAAAAGUACGUGAAAUUGUCGAAAGGGAAGCACUUGAAGUCAGCCAUGCUGCUUGAGACUCAGCCUGGCUUUUGCUUGGUGUAUUUCUCGGUAGCAAGCCAGCAUUGGUUUGUGUCGUCGGAGAAGCGUAUGGGGAAUGUGGCAUCCUCGGAUGUGUUAUAGCCCUGUGCUGGAUACGACGACGCAGACCAAGGAACGCAGUGUGCCCUCUGGGCGGG
rnacentral:rRNA from 1 species